rnacentral:rRNA from 1 species
UACGAAGGGGGCUAGCGUUGUUCGGAAUCACUGGGCGUAAAGCGCACGUAGGCGGAUUUGUUAGUCAGGGGUGAAAUCCCGGGGCUCAACCUCGGAACUGCCUCUGAUACUGCAGAUCUCGAGUCCGAUAGAGGUGAGUGGAAUUCCUAGUGUAGAGGUGAAAUUCGUAGAUAUUAGGAAGAACACCAGUGGCGAAGGCGGCUCACUGGAUCGGUACUGACGCUGAGGUGCGAAAGCGUGGGGAGCAAAC